rnacentral:tRNA from 1 species
GGGUCGCUAGCUCAAUUGGCAGAGCUCCGGACUUUUAAUCCGUAGGUUGUGGGUUCGAGUCCCACGCGACCCAC